rnacentral:pre_miRNA from 1 species
AGACUGGGGAGGGUGAAAUGCAGUGCAUGCUCCUUCUGUAUUGCACCCGUCCCGGCCUGU